rnacentral:lncRNA from 1 species
CGGAGCUGGGACACGCACGGGGCGCGUCUGUGCCACUCCGCGGGGAAGACAGCUCCACGUCUCCGCGUUUGUGCCUGAGGUCAUUGCACGUCUCGGAGCUGUGCUGUGGCGCCUGAUGCUUGAGAUGUUCAGGGGUGGAUGCGGAAAGAAGAGGAUUUACCCCGGCUUGUCACUGACUUCUGCCUCAGGUCACAUGAAUGAGUAGAAACUAGUUUAUGGCGGAAUGAACGGAUGUGGUUAAAUACACCUGCACGCUUCCCCCAACCCUGCCAACAGCAUGCUGGAACACCACACGUGGUCAGGAAGCAUGUGGACCUCCAGGAUGAGAUGGUUGGAUGGCAUCACUGACUCAAUGGACAUGAGUUUGCACAAACUCUGGAAGAUGGUGAAGGAUGGCAGAGCCUGGCGUGCUGUAGUCCAUGGGUUCGCAGAAAGUGAGAUGCCGCUGAGUGACGGAACCACAGUAACAAACCCGAUAGACCAUAGUGGGAUCAACGCUGCCUUCCUUAGUCCUCGUUCAGUGAAACGCAGUGAGUCAUGA